AGUGAACGCUGGCGGUAGGCCUAACACAUGCAAGUCGAACGGCAGCACAGUAAGAGCUUGCUCUUACGGGUGGCGAGUGGCGGACGGGUGAGGAAUACAUCGGAAUCUACUUUUUCUUGGGGGAUAACGUAGGGAAACUUACGCUAAUACCUCAUACGACCUACGGGUUAAAUCAGUAGUUCUUCGGACCUUGCGCGAUUCAAUGAGCCGAUGCCGGAUUAGCUAGUUGGCGUGGUAAAGGCCCACCAAGGCAACGAUCCGUAGCUGGUCUGAGAGGAUGAUCAGCCACACUGGAACUGAGACACGGUCCAGACUCCUACGGGAGGCAGCAGUGGGGAAUAUUGGGCAAUGGGCGAAAGCCUGAUCCAGCAAUGCCGCGUGAGUGAAGAAGGCCUUCGGAUUGUAAAGCCCUUUUGUUAGGGAAGAAAAAAAGCGGAUUAAUACCUCGCUGUUCUGACGGUACCCAAAGAGUAAGCACCGGCUAACUUCGUG
rnacentral:rRNA from 1 species